rnacentral:rRNA from 1 species
UCAACUUGAGAGUUUGAUCCUGGCUCAGAACGAACGCUGGCGGCAGGCUUAACACAUGCAAGUCGAGCGCCCCUCCUUCAAGCAAGCUUGAAGGUCCUUUGGCCGAAGGCCAGGAAAGAGGAUCAAGAAAGCCGAGCUUUCUUGAUGGAGGGGAGCGGCAGACGGGUGAGUAACGCGUGGGAAUCUACCUAGCUCUACGGAAUAACCCAGGGAAACUUGGACUAAUACCGUAUACGUCCGAGAGGAGAAAGAUUUAUCGGAGUUAGAUGAGCCCGCGUUGGAUUAGCUAGUUGGUGGGGUAAAGGCCUACCAAGGCGACGAUCCAUAGCUGGUCUGAGAGGAUGAUCAGCCACACUGGGACUGAGACACGGCCCAGACUCCUACGGGAGGCAGCAGUGGGGAAUAUUGGACAAUGGGCGCAAGCCUGAUCCAGCCAUGCCGCGUGAGUGAUGACGGCCUUAGGGUUGUAAAGCUCUUUCAACGGUGAAGAUAAUGACGGUAACCGUAGAAGAAGCCCCGGCUAACUUCGUGCCAGCAGCCGCGGUAAUACGAAGGGGGCUAGCGUUGUUCGGAAUUACUGGGCGUAAAGCGCACGUAGGCGGAUACUUAAGUCAGGGGUGAAAUCCCGGGGCUCAACCCCGGAACUGCCUUUGAUACUGGGUAUCUAGAGUAUGGUAGAGGUGAGUGGAAUUCCGAGUGUAGAGGUGAAAUUCGUAGAUAUUCGGAGGAACACCAGUGGCGAAGGCGGCUCACUGGACCAUUACUGACGCUGAGGUGCGAAAGCGU